UGGGGAAUCUUGGACAAUGGGGGAAACCCUGAUCCAGCCAUGCCGCGUGAGUGAUGGAGGCCCUAGGGUUGUAAAACUCUUUCGUCGGGGACGAUAAUGACGGUACCCGAAGAAGAAGCUCCGGCUAACUUCGUGCCAGCAGCCGCGGUAAUACGAAGGGAGCUAGCGUUGUUCGGAAUCACUGGGCGUAAAGCGCACGUAGGCGGAUAGUUAAGUCAGGGGUGAAAUCCUGGGGCUCAACCCCAGAACUGCCUUUGAUACUGGCUGUCUCGAGGUCGAGAGAGGUUGGUGGAAUUCCUAGUGUAGAGGUGAAAUUCGUAGAUAUUAGGAAGAACACCAGUGGCGAAGGCGGCCAACUGGCUCGAUACUGACGCUGAGGUGCGAAAGCGUGGGGAGCAAACAGGAUUAGAUACCCGGGUAGUCCCUGAGCGGGCUGGCAAGGCGCAU
rnacentral:rRNA from 1 species